rnacentral:rRNA from 1 species
AGAAUAAGAAUGGUGAUGAGGAAGUGAAAGAUGAAAAGGACGUCGUAGAAAAGAAAAAGAAGGAAUUGAAAUUAUUAUUGGAACAACUAACAUCCAUCAAGGAAUCGUA